rnacentral:miRNA from 1 species
AAGCCGGGCCUAGUGACUCUCU